rnacentral:rRNA from 1 species
CAGUCGAGCGGAACGAUGGGAGCUUGCUCCCAGGCGUCGAGCGGCGGACGGGUGAGUAACACUUAGGAAUCUACCUAGUAGUGGGGGAUAGCUCGGGGAAACUCGAAUUAAUACCGCAUACGACCUACGGGAGAAAGGGGGCAGUUUACUGCUCUCGCUAUUAGAUGAGCCUAAGUCGGAUUAGCUAGAUGGUGGGGUAAAGGCCUACCAUGGCGACGAUCUGUAGCUGGUCUGAGAGGAUGAUCAGCCACACCGGGACUGAGACACGGCCCGGACUCCUACGGGAGGCAGCAGUGGGGAAUAUUGGACAAUGGGGGGAACCCUGAUCCAGCCAUGCCGCGUGUGUGAAGAAGGCCUUUUGGUUGUAAAGCACUUUAAGCAGUGAAGAAGACCUAACGGUUAAUACCCGUUAGCGAUGACAUUAGCUGCAGAAUAAGCACCGGCUAACUCUGUGCCAGCAGCCGCGGUAAUACAGAGGGUGCAAGCGUUAAUCGGAAUUACUGGGCGU